rnacentral:lncRNA from 1 species
GAUUAAAUAUCAUACGGAUUAGAUUUUUGAGUAAAAUGAUCAACAAGUAGUAUUCAUUUUAAUCUAAAUUAUUUUUUUAAUAUUUAUUUUAUUUUUUUAUUUAUUUUAAUUAAAAAUUAUAAAUUAAAUUAUUGUAUUUAUAGUUUGUUUUAUCUUGAAAUCUAUCAUUAUGGUGGUUAUUCUUCUACAUUUACAAAAUUAAUAGGUUUGGACAUCACCCAGCCA